GCAGUUGUGGUUCAGUGGCAGAAUUAUCACCUUCCAUGCGAUAGACCCGGGUUCGAUUCCUGGCCAAGGCA
rnacentral:tRNA from 1 species